AUGAUUCCCCUCUCUGAUCAGGAAAUUUGGGAUAUAGUUAACUCUGCUAACCCGAAUGCUGCCUUCGGGCCAGACGGCUUCUCUAUUCCUUUCUUUCGGAAAUUCUGGCCUCAGUUAACGCAGCUAGUGUGCAAUGUUAUCCAGGGUUUUUGCCAUGGCACUAUCGAUAUCUCCCACUUGAAUUACGCCGUCAUUUCUCUGAUCCCCAAGGUCAAGGGUGAUGAACUAAUUUCUUAAUUACGUCCUAUUGCUUUGAUUAAUAACUUCGCCAAAUUUCUGGCUAAGGGCUAUGCUAACCGCCUAUCCCCUGUUGCUCAUAGAGUUAUUAGCCCCUUCCAAUCUGCUUUUAUUAAGGGUCGUUUUAUCUUAGAUGGCAUCCUUCCUUUGCAUGAAAUUGUGCACGACCUGCACUCUCGGAAUUCUAAAGCGAUUAUUCUUAAGUUAGAUUUUGAGAAAGCCUAUGACUCGGUAAGUUGGUCAUUUCUUAAGCAGGUCCUGCUUGCAAAAGGUUUUGACGGAGCUUACGUGCAUCGUAUCAUGCAUUUGGUCUCGGGUAGCCAUACUGCCUGUCGGUGGGAACAACACCUAUGGGAUCACAAGAAUCCCUACUACGGUUGCGGGGCGCGGGGUCGUGAGAAGAGCGGAUCAAACAGAUAG
rnacentral:rRNA from 1 species